CAUGCUUGCACGUUGACUACUCCUUGUAGAAGUCUUCUUCUCCGAGGGUUCCAUCAGGGCAUAGUCCUUUGAGCUUCCUUAAAGUAUCAGAAGCAGAAUAGCAGCUCUCCCUUACACUGCGCCAAGGAGAAUCAAGAGUUCAAAAGAAAGAUAUGGAAGAUAAAACCUGCCUUCCUCAAUCUGAUGACAAUUAUGAAACUAAAAUCGUACGAUCAACGAAUGAUCUCCCACCAGCUCAUGAUCAUUAUACAUUUCAAAUCAAAAAUUUUUCUUUACUGUUAGCGAUGACGGACGAAAAAUGUCACUCUGGCCAAUUUGAAGUUGGCGGUUAUCAAUGGAGAAUGGUUCUCUACCCAAAUGGGAAAAAGAAUAGCAAUGGGAAUGGUCACAUCUCUCUAUACUUGGAAAUAGUAGCUACCAAUGAUCUUCCACUUGGCUGGGAGGUUAACGCAAACAUAAGAUUCUUUGUGUUUGAUCAAAUCCGAGACAAGUAUCUUAGUAUUCAAGAUGCAAAUGGGAGAGUAGUAAGACACUUUCAUAAAUUGAAGACUGAAUGGGGAUUCGCCAAGUUGCUUUCCCAUGAUACUCUCAAUGAUCCAUCCAAUGGUUAUCUUGUUGAAGACACUUGUGCCUUUGGGGUGGAAGUUUCUGUUAUUAAAGGUACUGCAAGAGGGGAGACUUUGUCGAUGAUAAAUGAACCUCAAAGUAAUUAUUUCACUUGGAGGGUUGACAACUUUACUGACUUGAAAGAUGAAUUUUAUUACUCUUGAGCAUUUCACUGUUGAAGGUCGAAGAUGGCAGUUGAAACUCUAUCCGAAGGGAGAAGGAAAAGGAGCCGAUACCUCACUGUCUCUCUAUCUUAGAUUAGAUGAUUCAGAAAUUCUUCCUCCCAACAGAAAAUUGUACGCAAAAGGCAAGCUGCGUAUAAGGGACCAAAUCAAUAACAAUCAUCUUGAAAAUACAGUUGAGCAUUGGUUCUCUAAUCCCGGCAUUGGUUAUGGUUUCUCCAAUCUUUUGUCAUUGAGAGAGCUACAUGACACAUCAAAGGACUACUUGGUGGGUGAUGUUUUGUUCGUUGAAUGCAAAAUUGUUGUCAUAUCCGUUGUUAAGAAUUUCUCCUCAAAUUAAUAUUAUGUUUAUGUUGGAGGAGCAAGCAUAAGGCUUAAUUUGUUAAUGGUUUUUAGAGGUU